rfam:Myotis brandtii contig228372, whole genome shotgun sequence.
CGUGCACCAGAGGGGUCCCUCGGCCUGGCCUGCAACCUCUCGCAAUCUGGUCCCCACAGGGGAUGUCGGAGACCCAGUUUUGGCCCAAUCCUGCAGGCCAGGCCGAGGGAUCCCACUGGUGCAUG